rnacentral:rRNA from 1 species
GACGAACGCUGGCGGCGUGCUUAACACAUGCAAGUCGAACGGAAAGGCCCUGCUUUUGUGGGGUGCUCGAGUGGCGAACGGGUGAGUAGCACGUGAGUAACCUGCCCUUGACUUUGGGAUAACUUCAGGAAACUGGGGCUAAUACCGGAUAGGAGCUCCUGCUGCAUGGUGGGGGUUGGAAAGUUUCGGCGGUUGGGGAUGGACUCGCGGCUUAUCAGCUUGUUGGUGGGGUAGUGGCUUACCAAGGCUUUGACGGGUAGCCGGCCUGAGAGGGUGACCGGCCACAUUGGGACUGAGAUACGGCCCAGACUCCUACGGGAGGCAGCAGGGGGGAAUAUUGCACAAUGGGCGGAAGCCUGAGGCAGCAACGCCGCGUGCGGGAUGACGGCCUUCGGGUUGUAAACCGCUUUCGCCUGUGACGAAGCGUGAGUGACGGUAAUGGGUAAAGAAGCACCGGCUAACUACGUG